CUGCUAUUAAGAACAUCUAUAGCUAUAACAGCCGCAGCCGUGAAAACUAAUCACCGUAUUUUCACUGUAAAGUGCAACAGAGGAAUUAAGAAACAGAUGCGCAUUAAAAAGGAAAAAGGAGAAACAGAAGUUGUUAAACCAUCUCAAUUGCACUGCAGGGAAGCUUGCAGCAGAGGUAGGAAGAAAUGGAGAAUUCAAUUCCAGGAUCACGACUAGACUUACAAAGAGAAACUUCAGGAAAACUCUGAGUUCCCACAGGAAUAAAUAUGGAUUCUUUUUUGAUAUACAAAGCAAAAUAAUAUUGUUUUCAAUGUAAAUAUAACUAUAUGUACAUAUAGUAUAGUUAUACAGUAGCUUUUAAAUUCACCAGAUGCUUAAUGACUGCUUUCAAUCAGAAAAG
rnacentral:lncRNA from 1 species